CAGCAGCCGGCGCUCGGCGCCUGUAGGGCGCGGGGAGCGAGCGCCACCGCUGGCCGUGGAGUGCGUGCGCGCAUGCGCGACGUGCCCCCGUUCGCUGGCGGCUGGGGCGUGCGGCGAGCUCCCCUCACGGACCAGGGCCGGAGCGGGCCGAGGCGGGAUCCCUGUGCGGGACAGCGCCCUCGCCGCUGCUUUGGCUCCCGGGCAGUCAGGGACGAUCCACGUUAGGCCCCUCCCUCAGCCGAGCGUGCUAACCAGUCGUGUCGAUGGAACUUUACGGUUUUAACCGCGGGGCCCACGAGCGGCCGGUAGCCAUGAUCCCUCCAGUGACCCGGGGAUAACGAGUAUGAAAGCCUGAUGCGGUAUGAGCGCCAGGCCUGUGACAAAAUGGCCACCGCAGGUGGUGCUCUGUGCGCCUCAGCCGGUGGCGGUGGGCUGCCCUGGCGACAUGGCGGUUCCCAUCCUGAGCGUCGUGCAGGAGUGAACUUACACAGCUCAUUUUGAUACAGAUCCAAACUGGUAGCAAGUGACUUUGCUGUUUCUCAUUCGUCCCAAAUAAAUAAGUAUAUUGUCAUUUGUAUCCCGUGGAAGCCUGUAUCAGAAUCCUGAACCUGCUUUUGGUAACUGCUGGGCUAGUGCUGCUGACUUCUGUCUCAGUGAAGUGCAGGGUCCCCCAGCCUGCUGCUCUGCCAGAACUGUGCCUACCAAAGCAGAAUGAUAGGGAAGAUUGCUGUAGUUCAGGUGGAGCGUGUGUUCACAAUACACUGUGAAACAAAGCUUUUGGAAGCAAUAACAAGAGAAGGUUAAUUUUUCUGCUAUUACAGAAUUGGAAUAAUUUAUUUGUGCUGACUGGAUCUACAAAUAGCAAUGCCUGGAGAUCCAGUGAUGUCUGAAGAGUAUAUGACAAAGCUGGCAGGUGGUAUAGCAUAAGAUUUGCAUAAAGCUAAUUUCUCCAUUUCUGCUGUCUUCAUCUGCUGUCAUUCAGUCUGAUCCUCACGAACUACUGAGUGGUUCUCUUCAAACUAAAAGCAGAAAAAAAUGUGACAGCCUGAGAAUGAGCAUGGAGGAAAGAAGACAGUCUGGGGAACAAAGGGAAGAGAAGGAAGAUUCACCUUUCAGUGAGUACAAGCUCUUAAAAACUUACUCAGAUGUGAUGUGUAAUUUCAUGUCAAAAUUAAAAUAGCCUAGGUUAAAAGCAUAUACGCAAUUAGAAUGUUUGGUGGUGACAUGGUAAAGCAGCCUCAUGAAGAGCUUUCUCAAGGCAGAACAUCUCUAUUAAGAACAUGCUAUUAAGAAAUUUGACAGCCUAGGCACCCUGGACUGAGGUUUUUGACUCAGACCGUACUCCUCUUUUGAUCUAUGAUUUUAAAACACAUCACAUAGGGCAGAGUUGUCUUGCAGUAUUUUUAUAUGACAUGGGAUAUCUGUCCUUUUACAAAUGUACAGGGCAAAAUUCUAGAGUUAUUGACCAACAUGACAUUUCCAGUGUUUGUAUAGACCAUUAAACUCAAGAAACAAUUGGUUUAGUUAUUAUUUAAAAUCCUCUACUCAAAUUUAACCAAGUUUUUUUUAGCUACACCUUCCAACUUUCAACUCCUUAAAGACUUAUCUUUCUUGUAUGUGUCCAAAGAGGUAUCUGAUUUCUCGCUCUCAUCCAAAUUGCUUUGAAUUCAAUGGCAGACUUCCAUCAGCCAAAUUUGAGUCAGAUUCACAGUGGUAUCUUAUCUGUUGAUAUUUCAUCUGAUUUACUACAAUACCCCUUCAGUCUCCAACUUUGCUUUUCCUAUUAUGUAAUAGGACUUCCUAAAUUAUGCCGUAUUAUUAGCGAAUUCCUUGUAUGCGUGUGGUUUCUUAGCUAUGGUAAACUUCCAUUUACUUUACAUAUAUCCUUACCUAUACAGGGCUUGGGGGAACCCCCUUUCUCUCUGACACAGGGAAAAAACUGAGUUUCAGAGAAAAAAAAUAGAAAAUACAUAGGAAAAAGAUGCAGAAAGCCUCUCCCUAUUUUCUUCAAAAGUUCUAUGCUUAUAUAUAAAAAAAGAGGUUGAGCACAUGAAGUAGAUCUUAGUAGUGAAGUCAACAGGUGGUUUUCAUUGCUUAUUUAUAGCCUGAAAUUACACUUCCUGUUGAGCAGUAUUAUGUAAAACGACUUCAAAAUAUGGUUUAUUGCUCAAUACUGGUUUGCAGCUUGAAGCCACAAGAAGGCUGAGAACAGUCCCACUCCCACUGAAAAACAAAAAUUUACAGUGUGUGUUCAAAUCACAACAUUCUCUUCAUAGGCAGAACAAGACAGCCUUCAGCAUCUUCCAGCCUUUUGACUGGCUGGAAGUGUAAUGGGAAAAUGUUAGUCCACAACUGAACUUUAUGAAAUCCAA